AAUUUUUAUAACUAGAACGCUUAUCACAAAUUAUUUGCAGUAUCAUCAAUGUAUAAGCAGGAUUUUGAUCACAGAAGCAAUAAAAAUCUCGUGCAAUACGUACAACUGAAUCUCCUGGCUUGCAAAGUCCCUUCUUCUUAGCAUACUGAAAGGCAUGUUAAAUUGUUUCUUCUGUUGACUCACUAUGAGAAGCUCUCAUAGAGCCUGAACCUAAAACAGGCACCAGAGGAUGGUAAAUAAGGCAGCUGGAAUUUCUUCACUGCAUGACCACUCAAAGGAAUGCAUUUCUGUGUCUCCCAGGAUGGUAAAUGCGAGCCCUUCUUCAGUUCCGCGUUCUCAUGGUUGGUUUCACAGGAAUUGCCUUCCUGCUGGUUGCUUGAACUUAACACUGAUGGGGCUUUAAUGGAACUUGGUGGCAUUGCACUUGGUGAUGGCAUGAUUAGGGAUUAAUAAGGAAGAUGGUUUGGGGGCUUUUGUACUUGAAACUUCUGGUUCGUUUAGUACCCCAUUAUUACUUAAAAACUUCAUUUGAUCCCAUUGUUGCUGGGAAACGUUUUCUUGGAAGCCAAACAAAGAAACGAUAAU
rnacentral:misc_RNA from 1 species